rnacentral:rRNA from 1 species
CUGGCUCAGGAUGAACGCUGGCGGUGCGCCUAAUACAUGCAGUCGAACGAGAAACCGGAUUAUUCGGUGGAAAGUGGCGGACGAGCGAGUAACACGUACGUAUCUGCCCUGCACUCGGGGACAACCUGCCGAAAGGUGGGCUAAUACCGGAUGGUCCCGUAAGGGUAAAGCUUUUGCGGUGCAGGAGGAGCGUGCGGCUUAUCAGUUUGUUGGUGGGGUAAUGGCCUACCAAGACUAUGACGAGUAGCUGGUGUGAGAGCAUGACCAGCCGCGAUGGGACUGAGACACGGCCCAUACUCCUACGGGAGGCAGCAGUAAGGAAUCUUCCGCAAUGGGCGAGAGCCUGACGGAGCGACACCGCGUGGUGGAUGACACCCCUAGGGGCGUAAACACCUUUUAUGAGGGAAGAAAAUCUGACGGUACCUCAUGAAUAAGCUUCGGCUAAUUACGUGCCAGCAGCCGCGGUAAUACGUAAGAAGCAAGCGUUAUCCGGAAUUAUUGGGCGUAAAGCGUCCGCAGGUGGUCUGUUAAGUGGGUUAUGAAAUACCGGUGCUCAACAUCGGUGCUGUAAUCCAAACUGGCAAACUAGAGGAAUGGAGAGGUGAGUAGAAUUCUGCAAGUAGGGGUAAAAUCCGUAGAUAUGCAGAGGAAUACCAAAAAGCGACGGCAGCUCACUGGACAUUUCCUGACACUCAAGGACGAAAGCGUGGGGAGCAAAAGGGAUUA